rnacentral:sRNA from 1 species
UAGAAACAUAGUCAACCAACUCCUUGCCGUUGAGCAACUCAAACUCAUCUUUUUCGUGCCGGCGAAAACCUCGGUUAUGAAAUUAUUUUCAACGUCACCUCAUCUUUUUACCGUGUCCAAUUUGUUUUCCAUUGAUUUGUUUAUGGAAGAUCAUUUGACUAGUCUUAACCUCACAUGUUUCAGAAUGCUCAAUAGUAUUUGUUUUAAAGCUCUCAUUGAUUUACCGUCGUUUCACCUUAUCUAUCAUGUUUUGAUAUGGGGGAAUGUCUCUUUUAUUUGCAUUUUAAACUUUAUAAUCUUUGUGUUAUUUUUUAUAUAUUUGGUUUGAUUUAAAUGAAUAAAAACAAGUCUUUAUCUAAACACAAAAGGACCCA